rnacentral:rRNA from 1 species
UUAAAAUUGUUGCAGUUAAAACGCUCGUAGUUGAAUUUCAAAGAAUCAAUAUUUUAAGUAAUAAUUUUGCUAUAAGAUGCUUAGACAAUACAACGUAUCUGUUCUUUGCAUUUCUUAUGCAAAAUGUGUUCUUAUUAUAAAAAGGAUUCUUUUUAAAAUCUCUUUUGCUAUUUUUUAGUAUUGGAGAUUUUGUUACUUUGAGUAAAUUAGAGUGUUCAAAGCAAACAGUUAAAGCAUUUUUACUGCGUUUGAAUACUACAGCAUGGAAUAACAAAAUUGAACAAGUCAGAAUUCUGUUCUUUUUUCUUAUUUUGGCUUAGUUACGAUUAAUAGGAGUAGCUUGGGGGCAUUUGUAUUCAGAUGUCAGAGGUGAAAUUCUUAGAUUUUCUGGAGACAAACAACUGCGAAAGCAUUUGCCUAAUAUAUUUCCAUUAAUCAAGAACGAAAGUUAAGGGAGUGAAGACGAUCAGAUACCGUCGUAAUCUUAACCAUAAACUAUACCAACUAGGUUUUGGACGAAAAGUUUUUAAAUAAGAGAAUUCCUUUCGGGGAAAUUUCUUAGAUUGCUUCUUUCAGUACCUUAUGAGAAAUCAAAGUCUUUGGGUUCUGGGGCGAGUAUUCGCGCAAGCGAGAAAGUUAAAAGAAUUGACGGAAGGGCACCACCAGGCGUGGAGCUUGCGGCUUAAUUUGACUCAACACGGGGAAACUCACUAGUUUAAGACAAGAGUAGGAUUGACAGAUUAAUAGCUCUUUCUUGAUUUCUUGGAUGGUGAUGCAUGGCCGUUUUUAGUUCGUGAAUAUGAUUUGUCUGGUUAAUUCCGAUAACGAACGAGAUCUUAACCUGCUAAUUAGCGGCGAAUACGUUAUAUUCUUAUGUGAAAUUGAAUAUAGCUGAAUUUGCUUAUUUUGAAGAAUACAUUAGGAUACAAUUAAUGUGUCCUUUUCCCUAUUCUUCUUAAUUCGCAAUUCAUGCUGUUUCUCUUUUGCAUUAGAAUGUAUUCGUUUGAUUGUAAAGCUUCUUAGAGGAACGAUGUGUGUCUAACACAAGGAAGUUUAAGGCAACAACAGG